AUUCAGCUGACGAAUUCCAAAUAGAAUAAAACGCGCUUCCUGGAU
rnacentral:hammerhead_ribozyme from 1 species